GACGUAGGGCGCGAGCGUUGUCCGGAUUUAUUGGGCGUAAAGAGCUCGUAGGCGGUUUGUCGCGUCGUCUGUGAAAACCCACGGCUCAACCCCGGGCCUGCAGCCGAUACGGGCAAGCUAGAAUUCGGUAGGGGAGACUGGAAUUCCUGGUGUAGCGGUGAAAUGCGCAGAUAUCAGGAGGAACACCGGUGGCGAAGGCGGGUCUCUGGGCCGAAAUUGACGCUGAGGAGCGAAAGCGUGGGGAGCAAACAGG
rnacentral:rRNA from 1 species